rnacentral:rRNA from 1 species
CAGUCGAACGGGAGGAGGCCCUUCGGGGUCUCCAAGAGUGGCGUACGGGUGAGUACCGCGUGGGUAAUCUGCCUUUGGGUGGGGAACAACAUCUCGAAAGAGGUGCUAAUACCGCAUAAUGCAGCACCAUCGCAUGAUGGAAGUUGUUAAAGCGGGGGAUCGAAAGACCUCGCGCCUGAAGAGGAGCCCGCGUCCGAUUAGCUAGUUGGCGGGGUAACGGCCCACCAAGGCUUCGAUCGGUAGCCGGCCUGAGAGGGCGGCCGGCCACACUGGCACUGAGAUACGGGCCAGACUCCUACGGGAGGCAGCAGUGGGGAAUUUUGGGCAAUGGGGGAAACCCUGACCCAGCAACGCCGCGUGAAGGACGAAAUCCCUCUGGGAUGUAAACUUCGAAAGUUGGGGAAGAAAACCCGAUGGGGAAUAUCCAUCGGGGCUGACGGUACCCAACGUAAGCCCCGGCUAACUACGUGCCAGCAGCCGCGGUAAUACGUAGGGGCAAGCGUUGUUCGGAAUUACUGGGCGUAAAGGGCGCGUAGCGGCACUGCAAGUCGGGAGUGAAAGCCCGGGGCUCAACCCCGGAACUGCU